GUAAUUAGUAACUAAUCAUAGUCAGGUGAAGCCUAAUGAAUGUUACUAAUGCAUGAGCAGUUUAGGAUUGAUGUUUCUUGUUUAAAAGGAAUCAUGCAAGAUCAACUUCUAGUGCAGUUAUUGAUGGGUAUGUCUGAGUUACUACAAUAGUCUAACAGAUGAUAGAAACCUGUCUUCCUGACCAUGUCUGCAUUUGCAUGUUAAACAAAUCUGGUUCUACACUUCAGUUCUUGAUUUGCAUGCCUCCCAAAAACAGUGCUGCAGCUAUGAUGAGCAAAGAAACAUGGCUGACUUGGUAUUGGUACCAUUGGGUAUCUCUGACCAAUGUCUGAUUGCGGUUAAUCUUCUCUCUGAGCUGUAGUUA